UUUCCGUAGGUGAACCUGCGGAAGGAUCAUUCAUAAUAAGUGUUUUAUGGCACUUUUUUAAAUCCAUAUCCACCUUGUGUGCAAUGUCAGGGUUGAUUUUUCUCUUGAGAGGAUCAGCCCCAAACAUCAACUAUAUCUCAACUCUUUGUCUGAAAAAUAUUAUGAAUAAAACAAUUCAAAAUACAACUUUCAACAACGGAUCUCUUGGCUCUC
rnacentral:misc_RNA from 1 species